rnacentral:rRNA from 1 species
UACGGGGGGUGCAAGCGUUGUCCGGAUUUACUGGGUGUAAAGGGCGCGUAGGCGGGAAUGCAAGUCAGAUGUGAAAUGCUGGGGCUUAACCCUGGAACUGCAUUUGAAACUGUAUUUCUUGAGUAUCGGAGAGGCAGGCGGAAUUCCUAGCGUAGCGGUGAAAUGCGUAGAUAUUAGGAGGAACACCAGUGGCGAAGGCGGCCUGCUGGACGACAACUGACGCUGAGGCGCGAAAGCGUGGGGAGCAAACAGG